UUCCUUCAGGUUCUUAAACGUGAUGAGUGGGUUGGGCACGCGCAUGCGUGAAAUGUGCCGUCCCUAUUGUUACUGCUUGUAUGAAAGGUGCUCUAAACCUUGUAACC